rnacentral:lncRNA from 1 species
CAGAGCUUGAAAUAGUGACCAUGGUGACCGGCUCAUCCCUACCACUCAAUUUAUUCAACUAGUUUACUAAGGAAUGCAAUAAUCAUUCCAUAACAUUUCUAGACCUUGAAAUCCUCAAAGAAGAACACAUGAAAAUACUGGUAAGAUAUGAAAUGCUAUAAAAAAAAUACAGAAAAAUUAAAAAAAAACCGCAAACCAACC